rnacentral:RNase_P_RNA from 1 species
UAAAGGUUGGGUGGCAAAGGUGAAAACGGGAGGUAAGAGCUCCCGACGGUUUGACCGGUAACGGUCACGUGCUAAACCCCACGCGGAGCAAGACCAAAAAGGGCCAGGGUUGCUCGCCCGCUACAACGCCCGAGUAGGUCGCAUCGAGGUUGGUGGCAACAUCAGCCCCAGACAGAUAAUCGUCCACGACAGAAUCCGGCUUACCGGCCUGCCCUUUUA